rnacentral:rRNA from 1 species
AAAGACUUGACGGUACUUCACACCAACCUAGAGGAGCCUGUCUAAUAACCGAUACCCCACGAUUAACACCACCCACUCUAGCCUUACAGUCUAUAUACCGCCGUCGCCAGCUUACCUUGUAAAAGAAUAAAAGUGAGCCAAACAGGUCACCCCUAACACGACAGGUCGAGGUGUAACUAAUGAGUUGGUAAAAGAUGGGCUACAUUUUCUAAAAUAGAACAUACGAACAGACUAUGAAACUGGAAAUUGAAGGAGGAUUUAGCAGUACGUUAAGAAUAAAAUGCCUAACUGAAA